rfam:Ovis aries breed Texel chromosome 10, whole genome shotgun sequence.
UCCCUGGUGGCUCAGUGGUAAAAGAAUCAGCCUGCAAUGCAGGAGAGUCAGGUUCGAUUCCUGGGUUGGGAA